ACUCAUUUUGAAGACCUGCAGCAUCUAUUCGUUCUUUUUGGUAGAUGUGUAAUAAGCUAAAUCCUAACUAGGGCCUUCUGCACAAGAUGAAUGAAGUGAGAUGUACAUGCCUGUGACUUUCGAUGUGGGCCUGAUUAUCACCAAUGUUCCGUAUUUUGUAGAGCAUAUGAAAGUUGUGCUGUUUCCUAUCAUAAUGCCUAUAUCAGUUUAUGGCCCGCACCGCCGACAAAGACCUCGAGUCAAAGCUUGGUUUCGAUCUAUUCUCCGAAGGUGAAACUAGGCUCGGCUGGUUACUCACUUUCACAACGUGAGGCACAAUUUUUUCGAAUACAGCGGGAUUUGAUACAUGCUGAACAACGUAUUAUGUGGGUGAGCCGCCGUAUUAUGUCGGGUGGAGGAAGGUGGCGGAGGAUCCGUACGACGAGUUGCGUAAUCCGGAUGAGCUGGGUUUGGAUGAAAACAUGUUAGCUUUGGACUUGGUUCGAGAGUGCCUAAUGUAGAAUGCAAAGGAUGCAAUACUGGGUGGUGAGGCUGGGGAUUAGUGGGAUUGCUUGUUACCAGCCUUCUGAUGGUUUAAUGGAGCUGAAACUGGAACUUCUUUUAAACUCUCGAAUAAUUUCUUGUGUUUUCAUGAUUGUUCAUUCGAAUUGUUCGUAAAAUGUAUAGUCCUUUUUGUUUGAUAUGGAAAUCUGAUUAGCUUUUGGACUUUGUAAUUUUGGGGCAUAUGCUUCGAAUUUUGUCUGUGUGAUUCUGUUAAGACUUGAUUUUGGUGGAAUGUGUACCUAAC